AAGAAUUGAAAGAAGUUGGUUUCCUGCAACUAGAGGAGGCAUCCAAAGGGAUCGCAUUGAUCCCAGCUACCUACCUGCCUAACCAAAUUCACAGUCUUGGAUCAUGCUAUCCCUUUGGAUUUCUCCUUUGGUAGCUUUGGGUUGUGUGUUUUUCUCUCAACUCUU
rnacentral:pre_miRNA from 1 species